UGCAGAUCCAAGUAAAAAUCUGGAUCUAGUGAAUUUAAAUGUGGUUUUAUAAUCCCAUGGCCUUGACGGAGGUUUGUGCUGUAAUGUUUGUGUAUUAUAUAAAAUGCCUUCAUUGUCAUUUACGUUGUACAAUAACAUUUGUUGUGCAACUCCAAAAUGUUCUCCUAUAUAGACAAGUAUAUAUAUAUAUAAAAUAGUGCAUGAUGAUAAGUAGUAGUAGUAGAUGUUUUAAAGAAGUUCCAGUAAAUAGUAGACAGCUCUUUGCAUUGCUCUCACCUGUAUGAUGCUAAAUGCUAAAGAUGAAGCUCUGAGUAAAACUUUCCAGACAACCUGGGUUAAAAGUUUGUUUAACUUCUUGUUUUAUUAGUUUCUCUCAUUUUCCUGUUCUCUCUUCCUUUAUUUCCUGUUUUCCCUCCGUGCCUCCGCUUCAUUCCCUCUCUCUUUCCCUCAGCGUUCAUCUGACGGUGCAGUUAGCUGAAGCACUGCAGUAAAAACCCGUCUAACAAGCUGCUGACAGCGCGCUGAAUCAGGGGCAGAAGCAAAGAAAACCGUGGAGAUGGAUUUAAGAGAGCUAUCGCUGCCGUCUGUCCAGCUGCCGCCGCCGCCGCCGCCGCUGCCGCUGGUGCUGCUGCCAAACGAGGUCACUUAACAGCUUUUAAUUGUUAGUGUCUGUCUGCAGUCGCUCGGAAAAACAUGUUGGCACCGCUGUUAAAAAAGGAGGAUUUAGAGAGUUAGAGGUCGACUGCAGCAGGUUCGGUUUCCAGAUGGAAGACAAAGAAGGAGUGAGUCAGGGUGAGGAGAGGUGAAGAGAAAGACGACCGUUCAUCUGUCGGCUUCUUUCCUCUCCUCCUCUGGGACUGCUCAUGUUUUCCAGAGCUGAAAAGUGUCGUCUCUGUUCCCGGCUCCACUUCGUCCUCUUUGUGUUUAAAGGUCAAGAGGCUUUUCAUGCUUCUAUCUCCCCCUGGUGGUUCACGGAGGAACAGCACAGCCGGUGGCGCACACGACUGCCUAUGUGUUGUUGUUGGUUUUUUACACGGUUUUGGUUGGAGGUGUUAAAGGUGAAGACGUGGAAUAUUUUUUAAGUAAAAAUUAAAAGUACUUUUAGCAGUUUGUUAAUUCACAUACAGACUUUGUAUUUGUUUCUUUAAUUUGUGUUUUAUCCUGAUGAAAGUAUCAUUGGGAGUCCGGGGUUAUUCUGAUCAUCCUUUAAUGCUUUUGAUUUUGUCUAUAUUACAUUUUUUUUGUUAUUAUAUCAAUCUUUGGAAUCAGUUUUUAUCAGCACAACAUUUUCUAUAUGACCCCACGAUUCAUUUUUCUCUUUCUUCUGUUUACUCGGUGACAUUUUGAACCCGACUCGUGAUCUGAUGACGCCGGCGUGAACCUCGACUCCUCAGAACUCAAUAAUCAAUCGAAGUUUUCAUCUCCUCGAGUUACUUCAUGAUUCCCGUGUGUAUUAGUGUGUGUGUUUCUGUUUGUGUGUAUAUGCAUGUGGGCAAAUACAUGCACGUGUUUUGUGUCGUAUUUUUUGUAUUCCAUAAUGUAAUGUUCUUCUUUACAUUUGUGUGUGUGUGUUUGUGAAUGUACGAAAACACGAAAAAAAGUAUAAAAUAAAAAAUACAACGAUGA